GCGGAGGUGGCGGAACUGGCAGACGCGACGGCCUCAGGAGCCGUUGACCGCAAGGUCAUGGGGGUUCAACUCCCCCCCUCCGCA
rnacentral:tRNA from 1 species